rnacentral:rRNA from 1 species
ACUCAAAUGAAUUGACGGGGGCCCGCACAAGCGGCGGAGCAUGUGGCUUAAUUCGAGGCAACGCGAAGAACCUUACCUGGGUUGAACUACGUAGGAAAAGCCGUAGAGAUACGGUGUCCGCAAGGGCCUGCGAUAGGUGGUGCAUGGCUGUCGUCAGCUCGUGUCGUGAGAUGUUGGGUUAAGUCCCGCAACGAGCGCAACCCUUGUCCUAUGUUGCCAGCGGGUAAUGCCGGGGACUCGUAGGAGACUGCCGGGGUCAACUCGGAGGAAGGUGGGGAUGACGUCAAGUCAUCAUGCCCCUUACGCCCAGGGCUGCACACAUGCUACAAUGGCCGGUACAAAGGGCUGCUAUCCCGCGAGGGUGAGCGAAUCCCAAAAAGCCGGUCUCAGUUCGGAUUGCAGUCUGCAACUCGACUGCAUGAAGUCGGAGUCGCUAGUAAUCCCGGAUCAGCAACGCCGGGGUGAAUACGUUCCCGGGCCUUGUACACACCGCCCGU